rnacentral:lncRNA from 1 species
GGAAACAAACAAUCAACCUGGUCUCUCUCACACACACACACACACUUGACUUCCUGUUUCACAGACAGCUGAUCCCACAGAAUGAUCGCUGCACUUAUUAAAUAUGAUUCAUCAUCAUCAAAUGUGACGCUCCACAAUCAUAUUCAUAACAGCUGUGGGAUUGUGGGAAACAUUUCCCAGGAUUCCCUGAACCUCUAAAUCCACACCUGACCAGAGACGAUUAUUCACUUAAAGACAAACUAUUUCUGUUUCAAAUAAACGCUGUUCUUCUGAACUUUCUGUUCAUCUGUGAAUCCUGAAAAAUAAAAUGCAUCACAGUUUCCACAAAAAUAUUGUGCAGCACAACUGUGUUCAACAUUGAUAAUAAUCAGAAAUGUUUCCUGAGCAGCAAAUCAUCAUAUUAGAAUGAUUUCUGAAGAUCAUGUGACACUGAAGACUGGAGUAAUGAUGCUGAAAAUACAGCUGCACAUCACAGAAAUACAUUACACUUUAACAGAGAUUCACAGGCUGGUAACGCACUUGUGCAGCACAACUGUGUUCAACAUUGAUAAUAAUCAGAAAUGUUUCCUGAGCAGCAAAUCAUCAUAUUAGAAUGAUUUCUGAAGAUCAUGUGACACUGAAGACUGGAGUAAUGAUGCUGAAAAUACAGCUGCACAUCACAGAAAUACAUUACACUUUAACAGAGAUUCACAGGCUGUCACUUUCAACGUCACUCAUAAGAAGUAAGCUGAUGUUUUGUAGACGCACACACACACACACACACACUCUCUCACACACACACUCUCUCACACACACACACACACACACUGAUGUGAUGUAAAGGCUCCUCACGUGUUGCUGGUGUCCAUGGGCUCGUCUCCCGUCUGCAGCUCCACUUUGAUGGUGGCCUUCAGGAUGCUGGAGGUCUGGACGGUCACAGCCGUCUCUGACCGCGAGCGCUCGACAUCCUCCAGCUUCAGCCGCUUACCGUCCGCGGCCAGAGAGUCCCGCUCUAGCGCUCGCUUCUGACUGCGCGUCUGCCGCACCGUGUCCUCUGACAUCACCGCACCUGAACACGCAAAACAAAACAAACCACAUCAUUACGGAAGUGCAUCGCUCUGAUCUGGGAUCAGCUUCAGAUUCUAAUUCACACUGAUUGGUUUUAAGUCUGGGUUUCUCUGAAUCUCUCAUUAGAGCGGUUUAGGAACAGAUAACCAAUCAAAGGCUGCCUCAGUGCUCGACUCAUUAAAUAUUCAUGAACAGUCACACACGCGUUCAUGAGCGCUCAGAGUCAAUAAAGAGUUAAUAAUCCUAAAGUGACAUCAGUCUGUUUUCUGCCACAUGCUCCAGCGAGCACAGAUGGAGAAACAGGUCACGCAGUCGUCACACGUUACCCUCAAAAAUAUGCAAAUGAGAAGAAAUGUAAAGUGUGAAAUCUGAAAACCUGAAUCCAGAUUUAGUGUGACACAGGAUUACUGUGUGUGUGUGUGUGUGUGUGUGUGUGUGUGUGUGUGUGUGUGUGUGUGUGUGUGUGNNNNNNNNNNNNNNNNNNNGUGUGUGUGUGUGUGUGUGUGUGUGUGUGUGUGUGUGUGUGUGUGUGUGUGUGUGUGUGUGUGUGUGUGUGUGUGUGUGUGUGUGUGUUCACACUGGUUGUUGUUGUUGUGUGUGUGUGUGUGUGUGUGUGUGUGUGUGUGUGUGUGUGUGUGUGUGUGUGUGUGUGUGUGUGUGUGUGUGUGUGUGUGUGUGUGCGAGUGUGUGUGUGUGCGAGUGUGAAUGUCUGUCCCUGAUUGAGGCACUGAAUUCAACAUCUGUUGUUCCAUUUCUCCAGCCAAAGCUAUUCAUCAAAAUGGGAGUGAAUGGAAUUUCUAAACCCUUUAAAAUCAAACAAACAAAUAAAGCUUAAGAAUAGAUGAUUUGCAUCCUUCCAUUUUCUUCCGUUUUAUUUCAGUGAACCUCACGCAGCUGCAGCCAAUGAUAGGCACAACUAAGAGUAUUAUAAGAUGAAUAAUCAAUUUCCAUAUCUCAUCUAAAUAUUGAUUAUGUCAGCAGGCAUGGUGCCUAGAUGAACUCCAUCCGAAUAGAACAGUUUAAGCAAGGCUGGCCAUACAGUACACACUGAGU